GCCUGGAGAGCUCAGUUGGUUAGAGAACGGUGCUGGUAACGUCAAGGUUGCAGGUUCGAUCCCCGUACAGGACA